CGAACGGGUGAGUAACACGUGGGCAACCCUGCCCAAAAGAGGGGGAUAACACUUGGAAACAGGUGCUAAUACCGCAUAACCAUAGUUACCGCAUGGUAACUAUGUAAAAGGUGGCUAUGCUACCGCUUUUGGAUGGGCCCGCGGCGCAUUAGCUAGUUGGUGGGGUAAAGGCUUACCAAGGCAAUGAUGCGUAGCCGAACUGAGAGGUUGAUUGGCCACAUUGGGACUGAGACACGGCCCAAACUCCUACGGAAGGCAGCAG
rnacentral:rRNA from 1 species